rnacentral:rRNA from 1 species
CACGUAGGAUCCGAGCGUUAUCCGAAUUCACUGGGCGUAAAGCGCAUGCAGGCGGUUCAAUAAGUUGGAUGUGAAAUCUCCUGGCUCAACUGGGAGAGGGCGUUCAAAACUGUUGGACUAGAGUACGGUAGAGGGAGGUGGAAUUCCCGGUGUAGUAGUGAAAUGCGUAGAUAUCGGGAGGAACACCAGAGGCGAAGGCGACCUCCUGGACCGUUACUGACGCUCAGAUGCGAAAGCUAGGGGAGCGAACGGG